UACAGAGGUCUCAAGCGUUGUUCGGAUUCAUUGGGCGUAAAGGGUGCGUAGGCGGCGUCGUAAGUCGGGUGUGAAAUCUCGGGGCUCAACUCCGAAAUUGCAUUCGAUACUGCGGUGCUUGAGGACUGGAGAGGAGACUGGAAUUCAUGGUGUAGCAGUGAAAUGCGUAGAGAUCAUGAGGAAGACCAGUGGCGAAGGCGGGUCUCUGGACAGUUCCUGACACUGAGGCACGAAGGCCAGGGGAGCAAACGGG
rnacentral:rRNA from 1 species